GUUGAGCCGAGGGGCCUUGCGGAAACGACAGACAGCGCUGUCAGAAACCGUAGCAAGUGAGCCCGCACCACGUUGACAGCUGAUGCGCUCGUGAUGAAAUACUGUGCCUUUCGCAAGGGGCACUUCAGACAGUAGCUUA
rnacentral:ncRNA from 1 species